GGGAUUCUCCCACUUCGUCCUCUGGAGUAACUGGGAUUACAGGCACAGACUGAGGAAUUGGGCUUGGCCUAAUAAGAAGGACUCUCCUGGGGGAAGGAAACAGAAGAGAAUUUGACAACUACACGGGCUGGCAUAAUGGAUUGGAAUUUAAAGGUUCCACAAAUGUGCCACCAGUUUAUCACAUGGGACAUUUUCUCACAGAGUGAAGCAGGAAGCUGGUGGGCCUGGGUCAGGAAGGCAGAGUGAAAUUUCAUGACGCUUAGAAAACAAAGAUCCUUGCUAAAAUAAAGUGAAUGGUCCUGCAACAAAUACACAACAGGUCUCCCUUCUUAAGAAAUCUGCCAGAUUGUAAAACUGCAUGGGGAGAGAAGCACGAAAGAAUUAAGUUUAAAACUCCAAAGCACAGAAAAAGGCUGAGGAGACAGGGACUCACAAGGCUUUCAAUCAGAAGCCUGAAAUGGUCACACUUGAGCAUGGUGCUGGCUGGAAACGCAGAGUAAAAUGUCUUCUGAUUU